AUGACUGCCUUUAGACUGGAGUUUCUCUUUUUCACUGCCCUUCUGGGCUCAGUCAAAACACGAUCUGUUGAUACAACUGGCAUGACGAAUGACCUGAUGGGUGCGGAUGACAACGUGACAGGUGACAUGUGUCAGGACUGCACUCAGAUUUUUGAGCUUCUGAAGGACCUCUUUUCCAAUGGGGACUUCCAGGCCAAAUUAGCAGCCUCUCUUGAGCAACUGUGUGAUGAGUUGCCUGCCCAAAUCACUAAACUCUGCCACACUGAGGUGGAAAAGAUGCUUCCUUUGGCCAUCACCUUCAUUACCAGCAUGAUGCAACCCAAUGACAUCUGUACAUUUCUUGGAUUGUGUGGAGGAUGUGACAUUGACAGGAUUAGAGAUCGGUUGCUUAAUCACAUGUCAAAAACUCUACCAGUGCCAACUAUGAAGGUAACAUUUGAGGAAAUGAUUUUGAAGUUAUUGUUUGCAUGUUCUGCACAGCUGACUAGGUUUCUCUGCUCUCUAACACAGAUGGAGACGUCCAUGCAGUGCUCUGUUUGCACAUACAUUAGCAUCAUAACUGUCCUGCUGGAGAGUUUGUGCAAAGAGUUUCCUCCUCUGUUUCAGCCACAGUGCAAUAAGAUGGCUGAAAAAUACAUCCAGCUAUACAUAUAUAUGUAUGUAUAUAUAUAUAUAUUUUCCUACAACAGAAUUUUCCUACAACAGAAUAACUCAAAUGGAGAUAGUCCAGUAACAGAAUGCAGAGUAGCACGGUAAGCACGGUAAGCACGGACGCGUAUUGAAGCGAUGAGAAGAGGAAAUGUUGAAUAAAGUUUUGUUUUCAUCAUGUUAAAAAAGUAAC
ensembl:lncRNA